rnacentral:tRNA from 1 species
GAAGCCUUAUCUUAAUAAAAGUGUCUUAGUUGCAUUAAGGCUAUGAAAGUAAGAAUCUUUCAGGUUUCC